rnacentral:rRNA from 1 species
CCCUUAAGUAACGGCGAGUGAAGCGGCAAAAGCUCAAAUUUGAAAUCUGGUACCUUCGGUGCCCGAGUUGUAAUUUGGAGAGGGCAACUUUGGGGCCGUUCCUUGUCUAUGUUCCUUGGAACAGGACGUCAUAGAGGGUGAGAAUCCCGUGUGGCGAGGAGUGCGGUUCUUUGUAAAGUGCCUUCGAAGAGUCGAGUUGUUUGGGAAUGCAGCUCUAAGUGGGUGGUAAAUUCCAUCUAAAGCUAAAUAUUGGCGAGAGACCGAUAGCGAACAAGUACAGUGAUGGAAAGAUGAAAAGAACUUUGAAAAGAGAGUGAAAAAGUACGUGAAAUUGUUGAAAGGGAAGGGCAUUUGAUCAGACAUGGUGUUUUGUGCCCUCUGCUCCUUGUGGGUAGGGGAAUCUCGCAUUUCACUGGGCCAGCAUCAGUUUUGGUGGCAGGAUAAAUCCAUAGGAAUGUAGCUUGCCUCGGUAAGUAUUAUAGCCUGUGGGAAUACUGCCAGCUGGGACUGAGGACUGCGACGUAAGUCAAGGAUGCUGGCAUAAUGGUUAUAUGCCGCCCGUCUUGAACCACCGGAACC